rnacentral:rRNA from 1 species
UACAGAGGGGGCAAGCGUUAUUCGGAAUUAUUGGGCGUAAAGGGCGCGUAGGCGGCUUGGCAAGUGGAUGGUGAAAUCCCUCGGCUUAACCGAGGAACUGCCGUCCAAACUGCUUCGCUUGAGACCGGGAGAGGUGAGUGGAAUUCCCAGUGUAGCGGUGAAAUGCGUAGAUAUUGGGGAGGAACACCAGUGGCGAAGGCGGCUCACUGGUCCAUUACUGACGCUGAGGUGUGAAAGCGUGGGGAGCAAACAGG